AAUCAAAAACAAAAUAAAAAGGUCCAUCAAAAGGCAUGUAAAAGAGAGGGAGCGAGAGUGAGAGACAACGGCCAGAAGCUCCACCUCUGCCACCGCCGCCCAGCGCCACCUUUGCACAGGAGGGCAUCAAAUCGGUAUUGGGACAUCGAUCAGAAUACCCUCCAAUAUUGUGAAGAGUCUGCGAUUAGGUGGAAUCAACAAUAGAACACAUCUGUCGUCAUGAAGGUGAUGGAGCCAUUCUUGUAUUCCUCACUGGUUGGGAUGACAUUUCUAAGCUGCUUGAAAAAAUUAAAGCAAACAGUUUACUUAGAGAUCCCAGCAAGUUUUCUUGUUCUUCCUCUUCAUGGUUCAAUGCCUACCAUCAAUCAAUGUGAAAUUUUUGAUCGCCCACGUGCCAAUGUGAGAUAUUUCCAGUGUAAGAGUUUGCUUCUUGUGGAUUUCAUGCCUGUGAAGAAUGCCACUAAUUUUUGUUUUUGUACCACGGAGAAUGCUGAGGAAAACUUUUAAUUUUGAUUUGUGUUAUUUUGAAUUAUGAAUAACAUUAUGUAUUUAAACAUUAUAUAUGUAUUAUGGAACAUUAUGUAC